rnacentral:rRNA from 1 species
CUACGUGCCAGCAGCCGCGGUAAUACGGGGGGUGCGAGCGUUAAUCGGAAUAACUGGGCGUAAAGGGCACGCAGGCGGUGACUUAAGUGAGAUGUGAAAGCCCCGGGCUUAACCUGGGAAUUGCAUUUCAUACUGGGUCGCUAGAGUACUUUAGGGAGGGGUAGAAUUCCACGUGUAGCGGUGAAAUGCGUAGAGAUGUGGAGGAAUACCGAAGGCGAAGGCAGCCCCUUGGGAAUGUACUGACGCUCAUGUGCGAAAGCGUGGGGAGCAAACAGGAUUAGAUACCCUGGUAGUCCACGCCGUAAACGAUGAGUGCUAGGUGUUAGACCCUUUCCGGGGUUUAGUGCCGCAGCUAACGCAUUAAGCACUCCGCCUGGGGAGUACGACCGCAAGGUUGAAACUCAAAGGAAUUGACGGGGGCCCGCACAAGCGGUGGAGCAUGUGGUUUAAUUCGAUGCAACGCGAAGAACCUUACCUACUCUUGACAUCCAGAGAAUUCGCUAGAGAUAG